AGCGAACGCUGGCGGCAGGCCUAAUACAUGCAAGUCGAGCGGUCCCUUCGGGGGCAGCGGCGGACGGGUGAGUAACGCGUGGGCAACCUGCCCCUGAGCCCGGGAUAACAGUUCGAAAGGACUGCUAAGACCGGAUAUACUUGCGGGGAAGCAUUUCACUGCAAGGAAAGGGAACGCUCAGGGAUGGGCCCGCGUCCCAUUAGCUAGUUGGUGAGGUAACGGCCCACCAAGGCGACGAUGGGUAGCCGGCCUGAGAGGGUGAACGGCCACACUGGGACUGAGACACGGCCAGACUCCUACGGGAGCAGCAGUUGGGAAUCUUCGGCAAUGGGCGCAAGCCUGACCGAGCAACGCCGCGUGAGUGAUGAAGGUUUUCGGAUUGUAAAGCUCUGUCUUCCGGGACGAUAAUGACGGUACCGGAGGAGGAAGCCACGGCUAACUACGUG
rnacentral:rRNA from 1 species